GGGGGCAAGGGUCAGGAUAGAUAAGAUAGAUGGGACUAUCGCCUAUCGCCAAGCGGUGAGACUAUUGCCUAUCACCAAGCGGUGAGACUAUCGCCUGUCGCCAAGCAAUUAUGGAAAUUUAGAAGCUAUUCUUCCUAACUAAUGAAGCCACUGCUAUCGCAUAAAGAUGCCAGUUCCCCUCUCCUGCUCCUGAAGAACCUAAUGAAGAGUUGAAAAGCCAACUGAGCAGAAGCUGGUACCAGAGUAUGGAGCAAUGCUGUGCUCACAAGAGUCUACGCAGAUUCUUCCUGAAGCCAGUGGGUUUUGAGAUACAUCCAUCGGUAAAAUACUUGUCACAGGCAUUGUUUGGAUAAAAUUACCUGACCUCAGCUGGGUGUGGUGGCGCACGCCUGUAAUCCCAGCACUUCGGGAGGCCGAGAUGGGUGGAUCACAAG